UACGUCGGGUGCAAGCGUUAAUCGGAAUUACUGGGCGUAAAGCGUGCGCAGGCGGUUAUGCAAGACAGAGGUGAAAUCCCCAGGCUCAACCUGGGAACUGCAUCCGAUACUGGAUGGCUUGAAUUCGGGAGAGGGAUGCAGAAUUCCAGGUGUAGCGGUGAAAUGCGUAGAUAUCUGGAGGAAUACCGGUGGCGAAGGCGGCAUCCUGGACCGACAUUGACGCUGAGGAGCGAAAGCCAGGGGAGCAAACGGG
rnacentral:rRNA from 1 species